rnacentral:rRNA from 1 species
GAUGAACGCUGACAGAAUGCUUAACACAUCAGCAAUUGAUUGGUGGCGGACGGGUGAGUAUCGCGUAAAGAACUUGCACUACAGGUUGGGACAACAUUAGGAAACGAAUGCUAAUACAUAAUACUGUGAGAGAGCUUUGCGUCACAUUAGCUAGUUGGCGAGGUAACGGAUCACCAAGGCGAGGAUGGGUAGCCGGCCUGAGAGGGGGAUCGGCCACAAGUGGAUAGGGACACGGGCCUGACGCAUACGGGAGGCAGCAGUGGGGAAUAUUUGACAAUGGACCACUGUGUGAUCAAGCAAUUCGGAGUGCAAGAUGAAGUUUUCGGAAUGUAGAGUGCUUUCAGUUGGGAAGCGUUACCAACAGAAGAAGUGACGGCUAAAUACGUGCCAGCAGCCGCGGUAAUAC